rnacentral:misc_RNA from 1 species
AAGUCGUAACAAGGUUUCCGUAGGUGAACCUGCGGAAGGAUCAUUAGUGAUUAUGAAAGGUUGUCUUCUGUGCUGGCUGCGGCAAGUGCACGUUGAUGACUUUCAUCCAACACCCUUGUGAACCUUUGGCCUCUUGCUGGCUUCGGCUGGCUGGGGAUUUACACAAACUCGCAUGUAUUGAGGACCUUUCAUGUGCGCAAGCACUAAUAUACAACUUUCAACAACGGAUCUCUUGGCUCUUGCAUCGAUGAAGAACGCAGCGAAAUGCGAUAAGUAAUGUGAAUUGCAGAAUUCAGUGAAUCAUCGAAUCUUUGAACGCACCUUGCACCCUUUGGCAUUCCGAAGGGUAUGCUCGUUUGAGUGUCAUUGUACUCUCACACUCCCAAUUACUUUGGAUUGGGAGCGGUGGACCUGGGUGUUGCUGCUUGACUGUGGCUCACCUGAAAUAUGUUAGUGCAUCCCUUGAUUGGACAUAGUACGGCGUGAUAAGUGUCUUCGCCGGCUCCUCGCAAAGAGGGUGGCCGAUCGGGAGCUCUGUUGCUUCAAACUGUCUUCGGACAAUCUUCUGGCGACUUGACCUCAAAUCGAGUAGGACUACCCGCUGAACUUAA